rnacentral:tRNA from 1 species
AGCGGGGUAGGGUAGCCAGGAUAUCCCGUCGGGCUCAUAACCCGAAGAUCGGUGGUUCAAAUCCAUCCCCCGCUA